ACGGCGAAGAAGAAUGAUAG
rnacentral:miRNA from 1 species